rnacentral:rRNA from 1 species
UACGGAGGAUGCAAGCGUUAUCCGGAAUGAUUGGGCGUAAAGGGUCCGCAGGUGGCAGUGUAAGUCUGGCGUGAAAGCCCCCGGCUCAACCGGGGAGGGUCGUCGGAGACUGGCGGGCUUGAGGGCGGUAGGGGCUGGUGGAAUUCCCGGUGUAGUGGUGAAAUGCGUAGAGAUCGGGAGGAACACCCGUGGCGAAGGCGGCCAGCUGGGCCGACCCUGACGCUGAGGCGCGAAGGCGUGGGGAGCGAACGGG